UACGGAGGGUGCGAGCGUUGUCCGGAAUCACUGGGCGUAAAGGGCGCGUAGGCGGCGCGGAUAGUCGGCGGUGAAAGCCCGGAGCUCAACUCCGGGUCGGCCGUCGAUACUUCCGGGCUUGAGCACUGUAGAGGCAGAUGGAAUUCCGGGUGGUAGCGGUGGAAUGCGUAGAGAUCCGGAAGAACACCGGUGGCGAAGGCGGUCUGCUGGGGCAGUUGCUGACGCUGAUGCGCGA
rnacentral:rRNA from 1 species